GACAAAAGCAUGGAUUAAUUUUUCUGCAUAAUUUUUGCAAUGUUACGUAGAUGGAAAAAAGCUGUCCUUGAAACAGUCUUGAUAUGUUCGUCAAAAGAGAGAUCAGGGUCCAGAGUAACACCGAGGUCCUUCACAGUUUUAUUUGAGACGACUGUACAACCAUCAAGAUUCAUUGUCAGAUUCAACAGAAGAUCUCUUUGUUUCUUGGGACCUAGAACAAGCAUCUCUGUUUUGUCCGAGUUUAAAAGUAGAAAGUUUGCAGCCAUCCACUUCCUUAUGUCUGAAACACAGGCUUCCAGGGAGGGCAAUUUUGGGGCUUCACCAUGUUUCAUCGAAAUGUACAGCUGUGUGUCAUCCGCAUAGCAGUGAAAGUUAAAAUUAUGUUUCCGAAUGCAAUUGUCAAACGCAAUUGUUUCCAACAGUUUUCUAAGAGCUGGCAGCAAGCUGAUAGUUCUGUUGUUAGAACCAGUAAAGGCCGCUUUACCACUCUUGUGUAGCGGAAUGACUUUGGCUUCCCUCCAGGCCUGAAGACAGACUUUCCUCUAGGCUCAGAUUAAAGAUAUGACAGAUGUGAGGAAUGGCUAUAGAGUCAGCUGCCAUCCUCAGUAGCUUUCCAUCUGCACUGAACAAAAAUAUAAAUGCAACAUGUAAAGUGUUGUUUUCAUGAGCUGAAACUAGGGACACAGUUUUGUCACACAACAUCACAGAUGUCUCAAGUUUUGAGGGAGCGUACAAUUGGCAUGCUGAAUGCAGGAAUGUCCACCAGAGCUGUUGCCAGAGAAUUUAAUGUUAAUUUCACUACCAUAAGCUGGCUCCAAUGUUGUUUUAGAGAAUUUGGUAGUAUGUUCAACCGGCAUUACAAUGGCAGACCAUGUGUAACCACACCAUCCCAGGACCUCCACAUCCGGUUUCUUCACCUGCAGGAUUGUCUGAGGGGGGGAACUCAGUAAAAUCUUUGAAAUUGUUGCAUGUUGCAUUUAUAUUUUGGUUCAGUAUAAAUAGCCUACCUACAACUGGUAAAAAAGUUGUUUCCGUGACUUAGCUGCAACACUCUCAACCAGUGCUCUCAACGCACACACACUCACCCAUUCACUCAGCAACAGCCUGCUCACUGCCUGAUAGUCAGCAGGAUGUAACAGUGAAAUAUACAGUACCAGUCAAAAGAAUCUCAAAUAUAAAAUAUAUUUUGAUUUGUUUAACACUUUUUGUUACUACAUGAUUCCAUAUGUGUUAUUUCAUAGUUUUGACGUCUUCACUAUUAUUCUACGAUGUAGAAAAUAGUAAAAAUAAAGAAAAAACCCUUGAAUGACUAGGUGUGUCCAAACUUUUGAAUGGUACUGUAUAUUUUGCAUAAACACUCCACCCUUAGGAUUGUUCAGCAUGUCAACAACCAUUUCAACAGUAACAUCUGUUAACCCCAAUAUCUCUUUUGCCAUUUCCACAAUAACCUUCAACCUGGCAAUUAUGCUUUCCACAACCCGAGUCGUAUUGAUAACCUUACUAAUAUAAGCUAUGAUGUCAAAUUUAUUCAAUAAUACAGUGUCCUUUGACACCAAACAUUCAUGAACAAGAUUUCUGAACAGGCCUUGAAACCAUGACAUCAGAAGCAUCAGCCCUGACAGCAGGUUCACUUACUACAGGUACAUCCAUGUCAGAUCCAUCAGCCUAACAGUAGGUCCACUAACUACAGGUACAUCCAUGUCAGAUCCAUCAGCCUAACAGUAGGUCCACUAACUACAGGUACAUCCAUGUCAGAUCCAUCAGUCUGACAGUAGGUCCACUUACUACAGGUACAUCCAUGUCAGAUCCAUCAGCCUAACAGUAGGUCCACUAACUACAGGUACAUCCAUGUCAGCUCCAUCAGCCUGACAGCAGGUCCACUAACUACAGGUACAUCCAUGUCAGAUCCAUCAGUCUGACAGCAGGUCCGACAGGUACAUACAUCCAUGUCACGACAGGUACAUACAUCCAUGUCAGAUCCAUCAGUCUGCACUGUAGUUCUACCUAUCUGUUUUAUGGCCUCAAGACUGA
rnacentral:lncRNA from 1 species